GGGGGAAGCCCUGACGCAGCAACGCCGCGUGAGUGAUGAAGGCCUUCGGGUCGUAAAGCUCUGUCAUAGGGGAAGAAACGCAUUCGGGCUAAUAUCGGCGUUGCUUGACGGUACCACCAAAG
rnacentral:rRNA from 1 species